rnacentral:lncRNA from 13 species
AUGGCAACAAUAUCAGACUGGAAUAAGAGAGGACGCACCCUGCGACGCACUCCACGAUUCCUGGAGUCAAUGUCAAAUUCCAUACAGUGGCCUGACUGGCCCGGUCUGAGCUUCUGCCACUGGCUGUACUCCCAUGGCCUCUUUGCCAUCCCUGCCUGGCUCAUGCUCCUGCCUGGGGCAUUGGCACUGGCUGGUCCCCUGCCUGGAAUUUUUCUCCCAGACAUCUGCUUGGCUUGCUCCGUCACUGGCUUCCAGGGUUUGCUGAAUGUGCCCUUCCCGGUGAAGCCUGCCCUGCCCGCUCUCAUGAAUGUUGCAAACUGUCCCCACUCAGUCUAUCCCCUACUGCAAGCCCCUUACCCAGCUGCAUGCCCUUGUUCCUAUGGUGAGUGUCACCUUCCAAGAUGCAAUGGAACGCACUCACUAUCAUGUUCCUCAUGGGACUUGCCCUGCUGCAGAGCAGGUCUGCGAGGAGUAGGGAAGGGCCCUGCCUGUUCAGGUCAUCUGGCACGCAGAGACCCUGAGUCAAUCAUUACUGAAGACCUUACUGCACCGAAAAGCCAGCCCAGUGCUGUGAGCAAAGCUUGGGGAGCUCCGAGGGGCCCGAGGAGCCUCCUCCAGUGUCUCAACCGUGAGAGGAAGUUGCAAGACUGCCAUUUCUGUCCACAGGCUCAGCGCUUUUUGGUCAACUUUCCCAGCUUGGUCCGAGGCCUGUGUGUUCUCACAUGCCCUGUCACUCCCUGUGGGGACAGGUUGCUAGGAAAGUGGGUGGGGGGCAUUUCCUCAUUUUCUAGCUCGUUUGGGCCAAGGCUGAGGGAUCUACGAGGUCAGGGGUCGUGCUCCCCUCUGUGGACUCAACUUCGAGGACACCCGCUCAGGUUUCCUGUUGCCUGCCUGCCUUGCAAUUGCAUUAGCAUCCAGCCUGCCCCUAUCAGUAACCCAGCCAGCAGGGGCAAAGGACCACACCACACCAGGCCUGCCCAGCCUCCCUGUCACUCUGCAGGGUCCAGUCCUACAGGGUCUCCCACUUGUCUGGCAGGCUGGGAAGCUGCACUGUCUAGCAGGGCUGGUGGGAGAAUCAGUGGGAACAACUUUUAG